AAACCAUUUUGUGAGCAUGAACUGACAAAAUCCUUAAACCGCUCCCAACAUUAGAAAAAUGUUUUAUCUUCCUUUUGGGCAAAGUUUAUGAUUGACUUUCUAAGGGU